rnacentral:rRNA from 1 species
AGGACGAACGCUGGCGGCGUGCCUAAUACAUGCAAGUCGAACGGCUUUUCCAUGGAAGCUUGCUUCCACUGAGAAGAUAGUGGCGAACGGGUGAGUAACACGUGGGUAACCUGCCCAUAAGAGGGGGAUAACAUCCGGAAACGGGUGCUAAUACCGCAUAGUUUUCUUGAUCGCAUGAUUGAGAAAGGAAGACGGCCUUUGUGCUGUCGCUUAUGGAUGGACCCGCGGCGUAUUAGUUAGUUGGUGAGGUAACGGCUCACCAAGACGAUGAUACGUAGCCGACCUGAGAGGGUGAUCGGCCACAUUGGGACUGAGACACGGCCCAAACUCCUACGGGAGGCAGCAGUAGGGAAUCUUCCGCAAUGGACGAAAGUCUGACGGAGCAACGCCGCGUGAGUGAAGAAAGGUUUUCGGAUCGUAAAACUCUGUUGUCAGAGAAGAACAAGUUGGAGAGUAACUGCUCCAGCCUUGACGGUAUCUGACCAGAAAGCCACGGCUAACUACGUGCCAGCAGCCGC